rnacentral:rRNA from 1 species
GGGAAGAAGCUCAACAUUUGAAAUCUGGCGUCCUCAGGGCGUCCGAGUUGUAAUCUAUAGAGGCGUUUUCCGUGCCGGACCGUGUCCAAGUUCCUUGGAACAGGAUAUCAAAGAGGGUGACAAUCCCGUACUUGACACGAUGACCGGUGCUCUGUGAUACGUCUUCUACGAGUCGAGUUGUUUGGGAAUGCAGCUCAAAAUGGGUGGUGAGUUCCAUCUAAAGCUAAAUAUUGGCGAGAGACCGAUAGCGAACAAGUACCGUGAGGGAAAGAUGAAAAGCACUUUGGAAAGAGAGUUAAACAGUACGUGAAAUUGUUGAAAGGGAAACGAUUGAAGUCAGUCGUGACUGAGAGGCUCAGCCGGUUCUGCCGGUGUAUUCCCCUCAGUCGGGUCAACAUCAGUUUUGUCCGGUGGAAAAGGGCGGUAGGAACGUGGCACCUCCGGGUGUGUUAUAGCCUGCCGUCGCAUACAUCGGGUGAGACUGAGGAAUGCAGCUCGCCUUUAUGGCCGGGGUUCGCCCACGUCCGAGCUUAGGAUGUUGACAUAAUGGCUUUAAACGAC